GGAUGGGAGCUUGCUCCCAGACCGUCAGCGGCGGACGGGUGAGUAACACGUGGGCAACCUGCCUGUAAGACUGGGAUAACUCCGGGAAACCGGGGCUAAUACCGGAUAACUCUUUCCCUCACAUGAGGAAAAGCUGAAAGAUGGCAUCUCGCUAUCACUUACAGAUGGGCCCGCGGCGCAUUAGCUAGUUGGUGAGGUAACGGCUCACCAAGGCGACGAUGCGUAGCCGACCUGAGAGGGUGAUCGGCCACACUGGGACUGAGACACGGCCCAGACUCCUACGGGAGGCAGCAGUAGGGAAUCUUCCGCAAUGGACGAAAGUCUGACGGAGCAACGCCGCGUGAGUGAUGAAGGUUUUCGGAUCGUAAAACUCUGUUGUCAGGGAAGAACAAGUACCGGAGUAACUGCCGGUACCUUGACGGUACCUGACCAGAAAGCCACGGCUAACUACGUGCCAGCAGCCGCGGUAAUACGUAGGUGGCAAGCGUUGUCCGGAAUUAUUGGGCGUAAAGCGCGCGCAGGCGGUUCCUUAAGUCUGAUGUGAAAGCCCCCGGCUCAACCGGGGAGGGUCAUUGGAAACUGGGGAACUUGAGUGCAGAAGAGAAGAGUGAAAUUCCACGUGUAGCGGUGAAAUGCGUAGAGAUGUGGAGGAACACCAGUGGCGAAGGCGACUCUUUGGUCUGUAACUGACGCUGAGGCGCGAAAGCGUGGGGAGCAAACAGGAUUAGAUACCCUGAUAGUCCACGCCGUAAACGAUGAGUGCUAAGUGUUAGAGGUUUUCCGCCCUUUUAGUGCUGCAGCAAACGCAUU
rnacentral:rRNA from 1 species